CUUACCAAGGCUUAAAUGGGAAUUGAUCGGUUUAAAAAUAGACCUUCCUUCGGGCAAUUUUCAAGGUGCUGCAUGGUUGUCGUCAGCUCGUGCCGUGAGGUGUUAGGUUAAGUCCUGCAACGAGCGCAACCCCUGUCACUAGUUGCUAGCAUUAAGUUGAGGACUCUAGUGAGACUGCCUACGCAAGUAGAGAGGAAGGUGGGGAUGACGUCAAAUCAUCACGGCCCUUACGCCUUGGGCCACACACGUAAUACAAUGGCCGGUACAGAGGGCAGCUACACAGCGAUGUGAUGCAAAUCUCGAAAGCCGGUCUCAGUUCGGAUUGGAGUCUGCAACUCGACUCUAUGAAGCUGGAAUCGCUAGUAAUCGCGCAUCAGCCAUGGCGCGGUGAAUACGUUCCCGGGCCUUGUACACACCGCCCGUCAAGCCAUGGAAGUCUGGGGUACCUGAAGUCGGUGACCGUAAAAGGAGCUGCCUAGGGUAAAACAGGUAACUAGGGCUAAGUCGUAACAA
rnacentral:rRNA from 1 species